UACGUAGGGGGCGAGCGUUGUCCGGAUUUAUUGGGCGUAAAGAGCGUGUAGGCGGCCAGGUAGGUCUGCUGUGAAAACUCGAGGCUCAACCUCGAGACGUCGGCGGAAACCAUCUGGCUAGAGUCCGGAAGAGGAGACUGGAAUUCCUGGUGUAGCAGUGAAAUGCGUAGAUAUCAGGAGGAACACCGAUGGCGAAGGCAGGUCUCUGGGCUGACACUGACGCUCAUGCACGAAAGCGUGGGGAGCAAACAGG
rnacentral:rRNA from 1 species